CCGGACUGCGUGCAUCAAAUGUCUGACCUCAGCUUAUCUAACACAUCGCGAGUUUGGUUCACUCACCAACAUCAAGUGGGGUUGUACCACUCAGCAGUUGCCAGUAGUGUGAUGAAUUUCCUGCCAAGCCAUUCACACUGAUGAGGAAUGGUCCAUAGUCAUCAUUUACUUUGUAUUCAAAGCUGUAAACACAGGGUAUGACAUUUUCAUGGACAAAAUUAUGCACAGUUUUUGAAAUAACUGUGAAGCUCAAAAGAAGGUUAUUGUAAUUGCAAAAGUACAAGAGCACCGACACUCUUGAGAACUCAUAAGGACUUAUGAAACAUCAAUGAAAGGAAGGCAUUUUGUUGAAGCUAAAGAUGUGAUGUGGUUUUUGACUGUCCUCUAAAUACAUGCAGGUUUCUGUAGUUUAUGAUGAUCAGAUGAAAGUGUGAAGAAUUGUUUGUAAAGGUCAGCAAAGCUGUUUCAUCUUGACUAAAUGUCAACAAAUAGGAGAAAACAAUUGGUCAUCUGACAAUCGAAAAUUCACACCCAGAAACACAGGGUCUCAAUUAGAGUUACACAUUUAGGGAACAAGAGAGACUGUAUAGCUUCCUCUAGAAAAGAAAUAGCUGAUUUGAUGGUCUUACUCAAAGCCUUGGUCUGACAUUUUCAGUCUUAUCAGUCCACCGAAGAGGCUUCCAUUAGGAGCGGUAAAAGUGUUGUAGUUCUUAAUGCUAUAGGGUGGCGUAUUAACCACCACUUUGAACUACACUGAAGCUUACUUUGAGCUGACUGCCAAACAAAAACCAGCAGCAGCACGGCUGCAGAGAGGAGAACAGGCUUCUUCAUUCUGACUGAGCUGGCAAAAGCUGACGACUGUCCUUAAGCCAUUCAGGUUUGUGACUGAGCUUUUUGGAGGUGAGACAUGUGUCUCAUGUUCAGUGGUUUUACCUGCUUACUGCCACCUGCAUCACACCAUGGAGGUCUCCAAUGAUGACUCAGACUACAUGGUGAAAUUUAAGACUGCCUUUACAAAGAACCUAUCCCAACAUGUAGCUACACUCAACCAUCAGUGGCUCAAGAUAGCUACUGUGCUUGACCCACACUUUAAGAAUUUAAAGUGUCUUGCAAGGGGAGAGUGAGAAGAGGUUUGGACCAGCCUUGAGGUUGCUGCAGGAACAGUGUAAAGAUGCCACCACAAAGGAGCCAGCAAAGACAAAGAGCCUCCUCCUCUCUUCAUUGUCUUCAGACUCUGAUUCAGAUGAGGAAGCCCUGUGUAACAGGGCCCUGAGCAGAAUCCACCAUCAGCGAUAAAGACUGCCCACUGCAGUCUAAUACAAUUAUCAUUGUUGUUUGUCGAAUCCUAAUGGCAACUGUAGUGUGUAAUCAGGUAUAAACACUUUAUUUACAAGACAAAACAUCUGUUACAGGUCAUAACAGAGUUUAAAUGUGAAGCUGGUCAAAUAAGCUGGUCAAAUAACCUUUUAUGUUUCUGCCUUAGUUUUUUAAGAAGAAAACCUGCAAUUUAUGUUGAAAAUGUUAUUAUUAUUAUUAUUAUUAUUAUUAGAGACACUAACAUUUUGAAAAUGUACUUAAAGUGCUUAAAAUAGCAUUUUAUUUUUAAGUCUGCACAACUUAUUUUUUUGAAGUCCCACCUCUACUAAUUAAUUAAUGAAAAGUGUUAUUAAUUAAAUAAAAAUUUAAAAUAAACACAUUAUUAAAUGAUUUAAAUGAAACAAAUGGGCAUCUAAUUAAUUAUUGAAAUAUUUAUUUAAUUAAUUAAUUAAUUUAAUGACAUAUAUAAUUAAUUAAUCUUCCAUAAAAGACAAGCCCCAGCUAGACUAAUUUAAAAUAACAAAGAACAAAAUGUUUCUCACCUCCUUCAGCUAUGGCUUCAAGUACAUUGUGUGAGGUUACUUGUUUUUCUAGUUUGGUCCUGAAGCUUCCUAGAAGAAUCUUUCUAAUGCAGUCCUCUGUCCUUUUUCUGCCCCAACCAGUUGCUGCAGAAGCCUGCCUCUCCUUGAGCCUGAGUCUGUUUUAUACUCUCGGGCUUUCCUCCUGAACUACUCCCCCCAGUCUCUGCUUUUCAAUCCAGUACCAGGGCAAUUAGAUAGUCACUCACCCUACAUGUAUCAAGUAUCUAGUAUCAAGACUUUCUUGGCCCUCACCAAGGUUCAUUUUUAGCUGCUUCCUGUGUGCUCUGUUUUCUGGUCAACCAUUUGCAUACAUAUUCUAUGGACCAAAGUUGAACAUCUGUGAUAAGUGCUGUAAAACUACUUUUCUAGAUUUAUAAAAAGCCCAGCCAACCUACUUUCACACCCUUGUUUUGUUUGUGUAUACUGAAAUCUAAGCUAAUGGCUGAACAUGAUAUCUCAACCUCUAGAAGAUGAAAGCCUCAAGUUCUCACAGUUUUUUCCUGACCAUCAAAAUAAAUGUAGACCUAUAAAUGUCUGAGUAUUGACUAGUAUGUAACAAAACAAAACAAAACAAAACAAAACAAAAAAAACCACCAACUUCACACCACCCAAAGAAGUUCAAUAUUUGAGAACACUAAUACAAAAAUUCACAUUGUAAAAAACAACUAGUGACAGUUUCUGAAUGGUAUCUAGCUAUAUUUCACAAUAAUGCAAAAGCAUGUAGAAUACAUGAAAUUUUUAGUCAUAAAAUAAAAAUGCUAUUCUUAUUCACUUUUCAAUUGUCUUGUUAAUAGUAAACACAUCAGAAAUAAAUAUCAAACAGAAGAGAUACAUACAUAGAGGAAUAUAUACAAACUAGAGGAAUAUAUACAAAAGAAGAGAAAGGCACACAAUGGAGAGCAAAGUGCUUGGAAGCAGUGGAAAAGGACUUGGUCUGAUAAUGAGUAAGCUGAAGAGGAAAUGGAUUUGCGCUCAUCUAGAAGAUCUUUGUUUGGCCUGGAGAAAUAGUUUCUUUUACUCUGAAAACAUAGCUGUCUGUAAAGCUAAGACAUCUUCCUAUUCCUAUUAGUUAAAAAGCCCUUACCUGGUCCAGCUGUCUUUGCCAAUUCUCUAACCUUCCUUGCUCAUUAGCAACUUCUUGACUUUAAAUAUAAUAUGCUAGUACUGCAACUUUUGCAUGUGUGUCAAUUUCACGCUUUGGAGAGGCAAACCAUGAAAUGGACACAGUAGACCAGUCUAUUGCAUGCUUUACCAUAUCAUUAAAUUUUGUUUUCCCUCUCC
ensembl:lncRNA